rnacentral:rRNA from 1 species
GACGAACGCUGGCGGCGUGCCUAAUGCAUGCAAGUCGAGCGACGCAUACUGGAGGGGUAACCCACCGGUAUGACGGAGCGGCGAACGGGUGAGUAACACGUGAGUAACCUACCCCGAAGACCGGGAUAACCCAGGGAAACCUGGGCUAAUACCGGAUACUCUCGGACCUUCGCAUGGAGGACCGAGGAAAGCUUUAGCGCUUCGGGAUGGGCUCGCGGCCUAUCAGCUAGUUGGUGGGGUAACGGCCCACCAAGGCUUUGACGGGUAGCUGGUCUGAGAGGACGAUCAGCCACACUGGGACUGAGACACGGCCCAGACUCCUACGGGAGGCAGCAGCAGGGAAUCUUGCGCAAUGGGCGAAAGCCUGACGCAGCAACGCCGCGUGGGGGAUGAAGGCCUUCGGGUUGUAAACCCCUUUCAGGAGGGAAGAAAAUGACGGUACCUCCAGAAGAAGCCCCGGCCAACUAC